CAUUCAUAGAGCCCAUUGGGCCCUUUUGACUUCUUCAUCAUCAGGCUGGGUUGAAGCAACUCUGGCUUUUUGUUCUAAGCAUGGGCUUGAUUGACCUGUGCAGGCUCAUAGCGCCAACUAUGAGUGAGUCCUCAGAUGUGGUCAUUGAGGAUUGAGAGGUGUGAAAGCAGCUCUCUGAAGGGGGACAUGAUUGAGGGUUGGCGCUCGAGAUCAUCAUCAUAUGUCUUGCCUUGUAGUAGUAAAGAGGCCAUUCCAAUGGCUCAUUAUUUACAACUUUCAGCAAUGGAUCUCUUGGUUCUCGCAUCGAUGAAGAACGCAGUGAAAUGCGAUAACUGGUGUGAAUUGCAUCCAAGUAACUCUAAUUUACGAAUAACACCAAGUGAAUCAUCGAGUCUUUGAACGCAAUUGCGCCCUCUCGGUCGCUUCCAUUAGGGGGUAGACUCAUAGGGGGUACAUCUGUUCGAGGGUCAUUUGAGUCUCAAAGGAUGGGGUUGAUCUAUCCUUUGGAUGUGGGUUUUGCUGUGAACUUGAUCUUCAGCUGGCCUUGAAAGCAUUAGCGGGUGUGAUGUCGCAGGUCGUUAAAAGACAUGUUAAUUGAUCAGGUCUUGGAAGGGGGAGCAGUAGCUUGUGAAGCAGCCCUCAUCGUUACAAAGCAAUGCUUUGAUGAGUCCAUGAUGAUGAAUGUCUUGCAAAGUCUUGUGAACGCUUGCUGCUCAAUGAUCCCAUGAAGGGAGGAGAAUGGCUUGAACGCCAAAUCAUUGACCUCGAAUCAGAUGAGACUACCCGCUGAACUUAAGCAUAUCAAUAAGCGGAGGAAAAGAAACUAACAAGGAUUCCCUCAGUAACGGCGAGUGAAGAGGGAAGAGCUCAGUUUUGAAAUCUGGCAGCCAUAGUGCUGUCCGAGUUGUAAAUUGAAGAGGGUGUCAUCCGCACUGGACCAUGUCUAAAUUGUAAUGAUCCACAGUCCUUUGAUGGAGUAUCAGAGAGGGUAAUAAUCCCGUGUUUAACGUGGACUACCAGUGUGUAAUGUGAUGCACUCUCUCAGAGUCGAGUAGUUUGGGAAUGCUGCUCUAAUGGGAGGUAAACUCCUUCUAAAGCUAAAUAUUGGCGAGAGACCGAUAGCGAACAAGUACCGUGAGGGAAAGAUGAAAAGAACUCUGAAAAGAGAGUCAAACAGAACGUGAAAUUGCUGAAAGGGAAGCGUUUGAAGUCAGAUGCGUGUUCAUGCGAUAGCAUCUCAGUGGUAGAGACUGAGAACCGUUAGCUGAAGACGGGCCAGUGCUCACGUAGUCCAUUGGAAAAGGGGUCAUGGAAUGUAGCUCAAUCCUUUGAGUGUUUAUAGCCUUGAUUCAUAUGCAAUGUGUCUUAUGUGGGAUGAUGGACAGCAUGAG
rnacentral:rRNA from 1 species